UACGGAGGGGGCUAGCGUUGUUCGGAAUUACUGGGCGUAAAGCGCGCGUAGGCGGCUUUGUAAGUUAGAGGUGAAAGCCCGGAGCUUAACUCCGGAACUGCCUUUAAGACUGCAUCGCUGGAAUCGUGGAGAGGUGAGUGGAAUUCCGAGUGUAGAGGUGAAAUUCGUAGAUAUUCGGAAGAACACCAGUGGCGAAGGCGACUCACUGGACACGUAUUGACGCUGAGGUGCGAAAGCGUGGGGAGCAAACAGG
rnacentral:rRNA from 1 species